GGGGAAUAUUGGGCAAUGGGGGCAACCCUGACCCAGCAACGCCGCGUGAAGGAAGAAGGCUUUCGGGUUGUAAACUUCUUUGACCAGGGACGAUAGUGACGGUACCUGGAAAACAAGCCACGGCUAACUACGUGCCAGCAGCCGCGGUAAUACGUAGGUGGCGAGCGUUGUCCGGAAUUACUGGGUGUAAAGGGCGCGUAGGCGGGACUGCAAGUCAGAUGUGAAAUUUUCCGGCUUAACCGGGAACGUGCAUUUAAAACUGUAGUUCUUGAGUGAUGGAGAGGCAAGUGGAAUUCCUAGUGUAGCGGUGAAAUGCGUAGAUAUUAGGAGGAACACCAGUGGCGAAGGCGACUUGCUGGACAUUAACUGACGCUGAAGCGCGAAAGCGUGGGGAGCAAAC
rnacentral:rRNA from 1 species